AUAAAAUGUCAGCUGUACUCUUGCCUUCAUUGACCACUCUCCCAAGUUCAUCUCAUCAAUGAUGAUUGCUUCCCAGUUCCUGUUUCUGCUCAUGCUCUGGAUUCAGAAAACCAGCGGUGAUGUUGUGAUGACUCAGACUCCACUGUCUUUGUCAGUUGCCAUUGGACAACCAGCCUCCAUCUCUUGCAAGUCUAGUCAGAGCCUCUUAUAUAGUGAUGGAAAGACAUAUUUGAAUUGGUUAUUACAGAGGCCAGGCCAGUCUCCAAAGCUCCUAAUCUAUCUAGUUUCCAAACUGGAUAGUGGAGUCCCUGACAGAUUCAGUGGCAGUGGAUCAGACACAGAUUUUACACUUAAAAUCAGCAGAGUGGAGUCUGAGGAUUUGGGAGUUUAUUACUGCAUGCAAGUUAGACAUGGUCCUCACACAGUGAUACAGUCUCUAACCAAAACUUACUUCCCUAGGGUUGCACAGCUGGCAAUGUGUUGCUUGACUAGAGAGUAGCAGAGCUCUCUGUGUGUGACAGAGAGGGAGGGGCU